UGCAGUCGAACGAGCUUCCGUUGAAUGACGUGCUUGCACUGAUUUCAACAAUGAAGCGAGUGGCGAACUGGUGAGUAACACGUGGGGAAUCUGCCCAGAAGCAGGGGAUAACACUUGGAAACAGGUGCUAAUACCGUAUAACAACAAAAUCCGCAUGGAUUUUGUUUGAAAGGUGGCUUCGGCUAUCACUUCUGGAUGAUCCCGCGGCGUAUUAGUUAGUUGGUGAGGUAAAGGCCCACCAAGACGAUGAUACGUAGCCGACCUGAGAGGGUAAUCGGCCACAUUGGGACUGAGACACGGCCCAAACUCCUACGGGAGGCAGCAGUAGGGAAUCUUCCACAAUGGACGAAAGUCUGAUGGAGCAAUGCCGCGUGAGUGAAGAAGGGUUUCGGCUCGUAAAACUCUGUUGUUAAAGAAGAACACCUUUGAGAGUAACUGUUCAAGGGUUGACGGUAUUUAACCAGAAAGCCACGGCUAACUACGUGCCAGCAGCCGCGGUAAUACGUAGGUGGCAAGCGUUGUCCGGAUUUAUUGGGCGUAAAGCGAGCGCAGGCGGUUUUUUAAGUCUGAUGUGAAAGCCUUCGGCUUAACCGGAGAAGUGCAUCGGAAACUGGGAGACUUGAGUGCAGAAGAGGACAGUGGAACUCCAUGUGUAGCGGUGGAAUGCGUAGAUAUAUGGAAGAACACCAGUGGCGAAGGCGGCUGUCUAGUCUGUAACUGACGCUGAGGCUCGAAAGCAUGGGUAGCGAACAGGAUUAGAUACCCUGGUAGUCCAUGCCGUAAACGAUGAGUGCUAAGUGUUGGAGGGUUUCCGCCCUUCAGUGCUGCAGCUAACGCAUUAAGCACUCCGCCUGGGG
rnacentral:rRNA from 1 species